rnacentral:snoRNA from 1 species
AUACCAUGAUGUGGGCAUUGUCUCUUCAUCUCCUUGAACCCCUCCCAUAACUCUGCCAAAGACUCACCAGCUAACUGUUUGAAAUUUUGAAUCGCUCUCCUCAUUUU